UCACUUACCUGAUCAGAGUCAAUUGAUGAUCUUGAAGAUCUAUGGCCUAGGUUAGUAUUGCACUUUGGAGGGAUGCCCGCUUAAGAUCGGCCCAAGUGGUUGAGUCUAAGUUAUAAUUUGUGGUAGUGGGCGCGGCCUC
rnacentral:snRNA from 1 species